GGCGUAGGCGGUCUGACAAGUCGGGUGUGAAAGCCCAGGGCUCAACCCUGGACGUGCAUUCGAAACUGCCGGACUUGAAUACUGGAGGGGUGACGGAAUUCCCGGUGUAGAGGUGAAAUUCGUAGAUAUCGGGAGGAACACCAGUGGCGAAGGCGGUCACCUGGACAGAUAUUGACGCUGAGGCCCGAAAGCGUGGGGAGCAAACA
rnacentral:rRNA from 1 species